rnacentral:rRNA from 1 species
UACGUAGGGUGCAAGCGUUGUCCGGAAUUAUUGGGCGUAAAGAGCUCGUAGGCGGUCUGUCGCGUCUGCUGUGAAAACUCGGGGCUUAACCCCGGGCCUGCAGUGGGUACGGGCAGACUAGAGUGCGGUAGGGGAGACUGGAAUUCCUGGUGUAGCGGUGAAAUGCGCAGAUAUCAGGAGGAACACCGGUGGCGAAGGCGGGUCUCUGGGCCGUAACUGACGCUGAGGAACGAAAGCCAGGGGAGCAAACGGG